UAACAACAAUAACGUACCUAGAGAUAAGAAUAGCUGUUCCAGGUAAUUGAUACUGGAUUUCUUCAGCCUAGGCUAGUCAUAGAAUGGAGGUGAGUUUGAUGUACUGGUUGAGUUGUGUUACUAUCUCAGAGGCAAAUAAGGAAGAGUAGGAGCCGGGCGAUUGUCGCGGUUGAGCUGUUCAGUGCGUAUUGCAGUGAGUUUGUGGGAGGGGCUGUUUCUUUUUUUUUUUUUUUUUUUACCUUGAUGAUAGAUGUUGAUGUAGCACAAAAGGAAGAUAAGGAACGAAGGCCUAAAGUUGGCUCUCUGUUUCAUGUUGUUAAUGUUCUAGUAUGAGAUGUAAAAUGUAACAAUAUUCGGUGUUUUAAUGGGAACUCGCUGCAAUUUGUCCGGCGGUUGAUAGAUGAU
rnacentral:sRNA from 1 species